UUGGAUGUAGCAUAAGGGACACUAUGUUCUUCUUCUUCUUCUUUACUCUUUUUGUCUUUCUAUUAUCAGUUUCAUUAGACCUUGAAAAACCCUAGCCUGAAUCAAUGUGGUUUAGUUUUUCUCUCUCACACUCUUCUUCUUUAUUCGUCACUGGAAGUUGUACUGAAGGAUUAGUGUUAGUUGCAAUUUAUGUCUGAAAUUUUUAUCAUUUCUUAUAGAUUUCUUUGUCUGAAAACAGAAAAAUUGAUGGCUUGUUCCAAAGGGUUGAAUCAGAGGUUGAAGGAAGAUAGGAUAAGCCAGUUACCUGAUCCUUUGAUUUGUCACAUUCUUUCUCAUCUUCCCUCAAAGGAAACUGUGAAGACAAGCGUUUUAUCCACCAGAUGGAGAAGUCUCUGGCUUUGUGUUCCUAGUUUUGAUUUGGCAUGUUGGCACCUCCCAAAGUUCAAUGACUUUAAGAGUUUUGGUGACAAGUUUUUCGAUUCCAAUAGGGUUUCAUGCAUACUAGAAGUUAAGUUAUUUAUUGGUGAUACUGGAUUAAGGAAAGGUGUAGAUGAUGUUCCCUCUUAUCUCACGCCAUGGUUUGAUGCUGCCAUAAACCGUAAGAUCCAACAUCUAGAUGCUUGGUUUCCUCCCUGUUCUUUUAAGAUGCCCCUAAGGCUUUAUACCUGUAAGACACUGGUCUCCUUGAAACUCUUUCAUGUAACCUUGGAUGGUGUCGAGUUUGUUUCCUUACCUUGUCUGAAGACUCUGCAUUUGAAAUAUAUGUUGUAUGGCAAAGAGGCCAAUUUUGAGAGACUUGUCACUUGCUGCCCUGUCUUGGAAGAGUUAAAGAUUUCCGGGUGUGUGAAUGAUAAUGCAAAAGUCUUUCGAGUGCUCUCUAGGUCAUUAAAGAAGCUUACAAUAAAAACACGCAAAGAUGAUCAGGGUUUUGGUUCGGGGUUUGUGAUUGAUGCUCCUCGACUAUGCUUUUUGAGAAUCAAUGAUAAAUUAUCAGAGGGUUUUAUAAUAAACGAUGUGGAUUCCAAUGCCAAGGUAGAUAUCUCUCUCUCUUUUGGUUUGGAUGUUAUUGAUGAAGCAAGCAUUUCAUCGAGGAGAAGUACCAUCCGCAGUUUUCUACACGGGAUUUCCAAGGUCAGGGACAUGACUUUAUGUAGAGACACUUUCAAGCUUAUCUGUCAAUACUCGAAAAUAGAACCGUUGCCUCAGUUUGGUAACAUGUCCACCCUGCGUGUUACUUUUCGUGUAUCUGAUAUGAAAUGGUUACCAACCUUUCUUGGGAGCUUCUCAAACUUGAAAUCCCUUAUCUUGGUAUGGAAUACUAACUCUAAGAAGAUGUAUUUCAAAGAGCUGCGUAAAUUCAAUUAUUCCACUGUGUCAGAGUGUCUGUUGUCGUCGCUUGAGUUUGUUGAUAUCAAAACAGGCAUCUCAGGACAUGCUGCAGAACUUCAGCUAGUAAUGUUCUUACUAAUGAAUUCAACAAUCCUCAAGAAACUGACUGUACGUUUGAAUUACUAUUGUACAGAUGAAAAGCACAUCAUAAAGACUCUCCUGGACCUCCCAAGACGCUCUACCAAAUGCAAAGUCGUCAUAUAUUGAUAUGUAAAAGGCUAGAGAGAGAACAUGUGAAGCUUAAGUUCUUACCUCACAAGAAAUGCAGUGCUUGCAGCGGCUUCGGCUGGGAAUCCAAUUCCAUAGAACUGACAAGAGAUAUUAUUUGAGUAGUGAGUGACAUAAGCUGCGAAUAUCCUAAGGAUUGUUGGCUUAUUAUUCCGGCAAGGUUGGAUCUUGUCUCUUUGCUUGAGAAAAUCUCUGUUUUUAUAUGGAUUUUACACGAACUUAGUUCUUCUUGCGCCAUUGGUUUGUAAGCUUCAAAUUUUAAGUUGUAGAGUUGAAGUGUUACUGCUAGAAGCUUUUAUCGAGCCCUAAAACACAAUCUUUGCUGUUUUUGAUGUAGAUUUAGUUGAUUCUAUGUUGAUUCACACUGGAGAAACAGAGUUUGUGUCUACUUGAUUAUGAUAUGUGAUUGUUGCGUUCUUGAGGUUGAUCUACUGUCCAUUAAUGUUUGGUUCUUGAACUUUGAGUUUAGGUGUAUGAUCUGACUCCAUUCAUAGAUGAUCAUCCUGGAGGCUAACAAAAUACGUUAAGUGAGAUAUUGUUUGAGUAGUGGGUGACAUAAGCUCUGACUUGGGAUUCGGCUGUGAAUCCAAAUCCAUUAAGAUGAGUGAUAUAUAAACUUCGAAACAGAAUCCCAACCCGAAUCCGGAAUACGAACAGGCAUUGUCGUUUUGAGAGAUUAUUUGGAGUUAUGAGGGAUACGGAUGAGUGAUUUGAGCUUCAACUCCAGGUCCGUCUCCGCCACGAAUCCAUCCAUAGAAAGAAUAUAGGAGCAAAGAUGGCAAUGAAAUUUUGCAAGUAUAAUUCUGAUCUUCUUAGUCCUCUUAGCUAAUAACACAUUUCAUUACGGCCCAUAUAGAAAACAAUUUUAACCCAUAUUGAGUUGGAAUGUUGGGCUUUUGUGUUAUAAACACAUUAUAUAUACCGCAGAACAUAACUACUGACUCGAGGCUUCAUAGAGUUCGGCAAGUGAUUUAAAAUUUCUAGCAAGUGAUUCCAUUCCGAUAGGUGAGAUCACGAUCUACAGUUCCGGUAAGUGAUUUCAUCCUGUUUGGCUGAAACACUGUAGGUUCUUCUUCUUCUUACUUUACCUUUUUCUUGGGUGAAAAGUCAUCUUCAUAACACCUUGAAACCCUAACCCUAAUUUGUCUCAAUGUGGUUUGUUGUCUCUCUAUCACUGUAAUUACUUUUUUCAUAUAACAUGAUGAGUCUUCUUCGUCAUGUUGCGAAUGUUGAUGUUAAUUUAUGGAUUUUGAAUUAUUUCUUUUCACUGGAACUUGAACCGAAAGUGUUGGUUGCAAGCAUAUGUGUGCCCUAUUAACUUGGCAUCUGGAACUUUAAGUUUUCAUUUUUGAAUAUUUUAUACAGAAGAAUUUGUUGGACUUAUUUUCACUAAAGCCAAAUAGGCUUAGUAAAAUAAGAAAUGGUGAAGAGAAAUGGUGGGGUGGGCAAAGCCUAGUAUCACUAAUGGUGGUAGGGUGGGCAAAGCCUAAAACCAUGGAAUGGUGGAGUUUUAAUCACUCACUCCCACUAAUGAUUUGAUUAGAAUUUGUUGUGGAAUUGGUUGAAGGCAACAAAAUUCAUUCUUCUAUAAAUGUUGUUUUGUUGUGUUGAAAACAGAGAAAAAAACAAACAUACGUUUAUACACAAAGAGAGCAACAAACAUACGUUUAUACACAAAGAAUCAAAUCAAAAAUUCCAUCAAAUCUCCAAGUUUUGAGAGUAAGUUUUGAGAGUAUCGUAGAGUUGUUGUUCGUGUAGAAUCGAGUUUCGAGUGCUUGCGAAAUCGAUUAGUGUGGUUGUAUCUUGGGACUCUUGAAUCUUAGAUUCCCGUCGCACUAUGGGUGAUUCAAAGAGUUAAGGAAAGAGUUUUAUAACUCGCCUCCACUUGUUAUUUUCUGGGUUUAUGAUUUCGUAAAUUUCAAUCAUCUUUCGUAGUGUUGCAAUUUUUGCUCCUACAGAAUUAAGUAUUAACACAUGGCUUGUAGAGGGAAAUCGAAACAGGCUCGUGUCAACGAGUUGAGUAGUAGGUUGAAGGAAGAUCGAAUAAGCCAGUUACCUGAUCACUUGAUAUUACAUCACAUACUUGAUCAUCUUCCCAUAAAGGACAUUAUUACGACAACCGUUUUAUCGACCAGAUGGAGAAGUCUCUGGCUUUCGGUUCCUUGUGUGGAUCUGAAUUCCAAAAAUCGCCAGAUUUUAAUGCCUUUGCAAGUUUUGGUGACAUGUUUUCUAAUUCAGGUCGGGUUUCAAAGAUCAGGAUGAUCAUAUGUCAAGACACUUUCAAGGUAUGUGUUUGUCAAUGCAGGGUAUUGCUUCACAUGCAUGUGUGUUUUUCUUUAAUGAAAAUCUCUUAGCCACAAUACUUUAAGUUGGUUUCAGGUCAUUCAUCACUAUUCCAAAGUAAAACCACUGCCUCAAUAUAAUUACAUGUCUCGCCUACAAGUUACACUCUGCGUAUCCGAUUUAGAUUGGUUGCAACCUUUUCUUGAGCACUGCCCGAAUCUAAAAUCCCUCGUAUUGGUGAUGAUUAUUCAUAUCUCUAAAAAGAUUCUGCAUAUUUUAUCGUUAUAUGUUUAUCCUCUCUUUUUUUUCCCUCAGGUAUUUGAUAAUUGUAAGAUGAUUCAUAUUAAGGAGAUGAAUAUAAUCAAAUCAGUUUAUCAGCUGUGCCUCACUGUUUCUUGUCGUCGCUGGAGUUUGUUGAUAUCAAAAACAAUAUCAGGAGAUAUAUGCUUCAGAAAUAGUUGAGAAGCUAGUAAGUUACUUUAUGGAGAGUUCAGCAAUUAAGAAACUGACUCUAAGUUCGCAAUGGAAUGUUUAUAUAGAUAAGUCUUCAUCAAGAUGUUCCUGAACAUCCCAUGACGCCCCGUCGAUUGUGAAGUCUUUGGACUGGUUUAGUCAGCUGAUAUCUUGCUGCACAAGAAAUGUAGGUGUUUCUUUGGAGUGAAAUAGAGAUUAAACUGUUUUAGGUACUUUUGCAAGAAAUCAUGAUGUCUUUUAUGCAGUGAAGUUUAUAAUUUGUCUUUCUUAUAAAGAACUUGAAGAAGUUUAUUUCUUAAACAUGUAUGUGUAUAUAAAUCCCUACAAAAAAAAAAAGUAUGUGUAUAUA